rnacentral:rRNA from 1 species
GAACUGUGCGAACGUUAUUCGGAAUCACUGGGCUUACAGGGUGCGUAGGCGGCUUGUUAAGUAGGGUGUGAAAGCCCCCGGCUCAACCGGGGAAUUGCGCCCUAAACUGGCGAGCUGGAGUGAGAUAGGGGUGUGUGGAACUUCCGGUGGAGCGGUGAAAUGUGUUGAUAUCGGAAGGAACGCCGGUGGCGAAAGCGACACACUGGAUCUUGUCUGACGCUGAGGCACGAAAGCCAGGGGAGCGAACGGGAUUAGAUACCCCGGUAGUCCUGGCUGUAAACGAUGAGCACUAGCUAGGAGGGGCGUAGGCCCUUCCUAACGGAGCGAAAGUGUUAAGUGCUCCGCCUGGGGAGUAUGGUCGCAAGGCUG